rnacentral:rRNA from 1 species
UGGGGAAUCUUGCACAAUGGGGGCAACCCUGAUGCAGCGACGCCGCGUGAGCGAUGAAGCCCUUCGGGGCGUAAAGCUCUUUCGACCGGAACGAUAAUGACGGUACCGGGAGAAGAAGCUGCGGCUAACUACGUGCCAGCAGCCGCGGUAAUACGUAGGCAGCAAGCGUUGUUCGGAGUUACUGGGCGUAAAGAGUGCGUAGGUGGUUUUCUAAGUUCGGUGUGAAAUCUCCCGGCUUAACUGGGAGGGUGCGCCGAAGACUGGGAAGCUGGAGUGUGGGAAAGGCAGGCGGAAUUCCUGGUGUAGCGGUGAAAUGCGUAGAUAUCAGGAGGAACACCGGCGGUGUAGACGGCUUGCUAGACCAUAACUGACGCUGAGGCACGAAAGCGUGGGUAGCAAACA